rnacentral:rRNA from 1 species
UACGUAGGGACCGAGCGUUGUCCGGAAUCAUUGGGCGUAAAGGGCGCGUAGGUGGCCUGCUAAGCGUGCGGUGAAAGCUCGGGGCUCAACCCCGAGUCGGCCGUGCGAACUGGUGGGCUUGAGCACUGUAGAGGCAGGCGGAAUUCCGGGUGUAGGCGGUGGAAUGCGUAGAGAUCCGGAAGAACACCGGUGGCGAAGGCGGCCGUGCUGGGCAGCUGAGCUGACACUGAGGCGCGACAGCGUGGGGAGCAAACAGG